AACUAAACUGUAGAAAGUAUAUGUAAGUGUAUUUUGGACGCGAGUUCGAUUCUCGCCAUCUCCACCA
rnacentral:tRNA from 1 species